UACGGAGGGGGCUAGCGUUGUUCGGAAUUACUGGGCGUAAAGCGCACGUAGGCGGCUUUGCAAGUUAGAGGUGAAAGCCCGGGGCUCAACCCCGGAAUUGCCUUUAAAACUGCAUCGCUAGAAUUGUGGAGAGGUAAGUGGAAUUCCGAGUGUAGAGGUGAAAUUCGUAGAUAUUCGGAAGAACACCAGUGGCGAAGACGACUUACUGGACACAUAUUGACGCUGAGGUGCGAAAGCGUGGGGAGCAAACAGG
rnacentral:rRNA from 1 species